UACGUAGGGGGCAAGCGUUGUCCGGAAUCAUUGGGCGUAAAGCGCGUGUAGGCGGUCCGGUAAGUCCGCUGUGAAAGUCGGGGGCUUAACCCUCGGAUGCCGGUGGAUACUGUCGGGCUUGAGUACGGAAGAGGCGAGUGGAAUUCCUGGUGUAGCGGUGAAAUGCGCAGAUAUCAGGAGGAACACCAAUUGCGAAGGCAGCUCGCUGGGACGUUACUGACGCUGAGACGCGAAAGCGUGGGGAGCCAACAGG
rnacentral:rRNA from 1 species